UUAAAAAUGAGGCAACUUUACCUGUUCAACUGCUGAAUGAUACGGCAUGACCUAAAACUUAAUGCUGACAGAG
rnacentral:snoRNA from 1 species